rnacentral:lncRNA from 1 species
GAAUCUAUUCUAUACUGUAAAAGAAAAUCGAAAUUAUCAAGGGAGACAACAAGAAAAUUAGAAAGCGAAUUAGAACACUUAACGACAAUUAGAGAUGAACAAUUAAACGAAGAUGAAACACUAACAAAUAAUAUAAAACAAUUAGAAUUACAAUUAGACACAAUUUAUGAAUAUAAAGCAAAGGGGGCUCAAAUUAGAUCUAGGGGGAAAUGGAUAGAACUAGGGGAAAGGAAUAAUUCUUAUUUUCUGGGAUUAGAAAAACAGCGAC